GUUGACGGGGGCCCGGCACAAGACGGAGGAGCAUGUGGUUUAAUUCGUAUGAUACGCGAGGAACCUUACCUGGGCUUAAAUGCUUAAUGACGUACUGGGAAACUAGGUAUUUCUUCGGACAUUUUGCAAGGUGCUGCAUGGUUGUCGUCAGCUCGUGCCGUGAGGUGUCGGGUUAAGUCCCAUAACGAGCGCAACCCCUAUUGUUAGUUGCCAUCAGGUCAUGCUGGGGACUCUAACAAAACUGCCCGCGUAAGCGUGGAGGAAGGUGGGGAUGACGUCAAAUCAGCACGGCCCUUACGUCCAGGGCUACACACGUGCUACAAUGGCCGGUACAGAGGGCAGCCACUUGGUGACAAGGAGCAAAUCUCAAAAGCCGGUCUCAGUUCGGAUCGGAGUCUGCAACUCGACUCCGUGAAGUUGGAUUCGCUAGUAAUCGUAGAUCAGCAAUGCUACGGUGAAUACGUUCCCGGGCCUU
rnacentral:rRNA from 1 species